AACGAUGCAUAUGGCAUUCAUUACCAAUGGAUGAACAUAUAUAGACCCACCUGCGUAUAAACUCCUGUUGCUUCCGUGGGGCGGUGACCGAUGUCGCCGCCGACGGAUGGCUCCGGCCGUCCGGAGGAGAGUCCCCACGGGAGGUAUAACAUAAACUACUUGCAUCUUCAUGCUCUUAGUCUGUACAUAAUCCACAAACGUUA
rnacentral:misc_RNA from 1 species